rnacentral:tRNA from 1 species
AUUUAAAUAAUUUAAAUAAAAUAUUGAUUUGUGGAAUCAAAAAUAUGAAUUAAUCAUUUUAAAUC